rnacentral:rRNA from 1 species
AGUGAACGCUGGCGGUAGGCCUAACACAUGCAAGUCGAACGACAACACAGUAAGAUCGUGCUCUUACGGGUGGCGGCUGGCGGGCGGGUGAGACGUACAUCGGCUACUACUUUUACGGGGGGAACAACGUGGGACAACUUACAAUACUACCUCAUAUGUCCUACGGGUUGAAUCAAGGGAGCUUCAGAGCUUUCCCGUCUGUUAUAGCCGGAGUCGGAUUAGCUAGUUGGGUGGGUAAAGGCACACCAAGGCGACGAUGCGUAGCUGGUCUGAGAGGAUGAUCAGCCACACUGGAACUGAGACACGGUCCAGACUCCUACGGGAGGCAGCAGUGGGGAAUAUUGGGCAAUGGGCGCAAGCCUGACGGAGCCAUGCCGCGUGAGUGAUGAAGGUCUUCGGGUUGUAAAGCUCUGUUGUUGGGAAAGAAAAGCUGCGGGAGAAUCCAUGGCUGUUUUGACGGUACCCAAAGAGUAAGCCCCGGCUAACUUCGUG